GACGGAGGGUGCAAGCGUUGCUCGGAUUCACUGGGCGUAAAGGGUGCGUAGGCUGUCGGGUAAGUCUGAUGUGAAAUCUCUGGGCUCAACCCAGAAAUGGCAUUGGAUACUAUUCGGCUUGAGGUCUGGAGGGGGGACUGGAAUUCUCGGUGUAGCAGUGAAAUGCGUAGAUAUCGAGAGGAACACCAGUGGCGAAGGCGAGUCCCUGGACAGGUCCUGACGCUGAGGCACGAAAGCUAGGGGAGCAAACAGG
rnacentral:rRNA from 1 species